GUUCAUCUAGCCAAGUGGUUAUCACAACAGAAUCAAAAUCUGUUUCUCUUGGAUUGUGCAGGUUCGAAACUUGCCGAUCAAUA